CUUUAUGUUAUGUAGAUGAGUGACUUUUCCACUGAAUUGAAAGACUUUCCUGUCAUAGAGGAGAUAGAUAUAGAGAAUGUGAAGCUGCCGUCACGCCGCGUUCACUUCUAGUCUGGGUUUGUUUAUAUCGCGCUGCCUUUCUGCUAGUGAAGUUAGGGCAGUAUUUUUGAUUUUCUGUCGCGAUUGUGAAAAAUGUCGCCAUUGUAGGUCAUUUAUGCUGAAUCGAAAAUUGCAACAGGAGUUCACAUCAUCGUUCAAAGAAAAAACUGGACGCUGUAAUACAAUUGUUGCCUUAUACGUGUAAAAACAAACUAAGGGAAGCAGGUUGAGGAGGUGACGGGAAGACGCCGUACACUGUUAAAUGUCGCUGUAGAUUUAGCAGCACAUUACUGUAAAAACCUACAGUACAAUACUGCAUUAUUAUAUUACAGUACAAUACUGUAAUUUGUAUUGCAUUCUGGGUAAUUUUGUUUGAGCGGGAACAUUUUACAGUAUAUUUUAGUGUUGCUGUAACCUAGCUGUAACUUGGCUGUAAUAUGCCAGGCAAUAAUACAGGAUUGCUGUAAACAGCGCCCCCGACUGACGUCAGAACACAACUGCAGCUCACUCAUGGAUAUCUGGAUGUCUCUCUCGGUCGAUAUCUGCAAGUUUGCUCUACGGUGUGUCUUUGCAGCCUGGGAAUAAGUUUUCUGUUCCUGGUCAGAAUCAAUCCUGAAGAUGGAAAUGCCAGACAGAUGAAGUGUACUGCCAGACAGGGAGUCAGCAAGGGGACCAAAAGGGUGGUGCAGAGGAAGGUGACGGCCAUCAACCCACAAAACUUCAAAAUGAUGCCUGCACCCACACACACACACACUUGUUUUUUUUUGUUUUUUUCGUCACUCGCUUGUCAUUCUUUUACCCAACCCAACCCAAUCCUCAAGUUCUCUUUUCUUGUAUGUUUUUUUUCAUUUACAUUUGUGCACAUUUAAAUGGUUAGUUCACCCAAAAAUUAAAAUAAUGUAAUUUAUUACUUACCCUCAUGUCGUUCCUUCGUUC